rnacentral:rRNA from 1 species
GAGGAAUCUUGCGCAAUGGGGGCAACCCUGACGCAGCAACGCCGCGUGAGUGAAGAAGGCCUUCGGGUCGUAAAGCUCUGUCGGGUGGGAAGAAACGUAUGUAGGUUAAUACCCUGCAUAUUUGACGGUACCGCCAAAGGAAGCACCGGCUAACUCCGUGCCAGCAGCCGCGGUAAUACGGGGGGUGCAAGCGUUGUUCGGAAUUAUUGGGCGUAAAGAGCGUGUAGGCGGCGGGAUAAGUCAGAUGUGAAAGCCCUGGGCUCAACUCAGGAAGUGCAUUUGAUACUGUUUCGCUUGAGUACUGGAGAGGGAAGAGGAAUUCCUGGUGUAGAGGUGAAAUUCGUAGAUAUCAGGAGGAACACCGGUGGCGAAGGCGACUUCCUGGCCAGAUACUGACGCUGAGACGCGAGAGCGUGGGGAGCAAAC